rnacentral:lncRNA from 1 species
CUCUUCUAGCUGGAAUAAUGGAGACUGUACCCUGUGUGCUGCAGCCCAUUGUAUGCUGCCGAUGGAGAGGCGGACAGGGGUGACAGGGGCUCUUGGCCUUAGCCCCUCAGCCCUAAUAUUCGUGAUCAAGUCUCCCGGCUAGUUUAAAGGUAAAAUUGAUAUGAUUAAAAAAUAGCCCCCCAAGACCCCCCAAAAAAGGAAGAAAGGAAGAGGGAGAGAGAGCGAGAGAGUACUGUUUAUAUAGAAAUUCUGAAAUUUACUCCCCAAACAAUCAAAGACGAGUCGUGAGCAGCUGAACCGAGAAAAAAAAAAAAAAAAAAAAAAAAAAGGAGGCUGGGGGGAGGGAAGCAUCGCAAAAGAGUGGGAGAGGAAGCAAAAAGCAAGCGUCCGGGAACCGGAGGCCUGCUGGAUGCCGGGUCCGCCUGUCCAGCCGCCCUCGGACACUGGACUGUACACGGUGGGUACCAGAAGCGAGACUCGGCCAAACACUGACCUAUCAGAGAAACCACAAGACAGAAGUAACCCUGUUACCAAGCUUAUGUGGAGUGAUGAACAUGCUUGCAAACCCUUCGGAGAAAGACAGGGAUCGAGGAAUGGAAAAUACCACCACCUCCAGCAGAAGUGUUGCAAGAACUGAUUGCAGGGGAACUGGAGUUCCAGAUGUUGCACUUGAAGGGCUCAAGUGUGAGCAGGUGGCCAUGGAUUUUCAUCACAGGUUGCAGCAGAUGGUUUCAAUAGUUCUGUUGAAUGCUCUUCAUCUUUGCCUUCAAGAGGAACCCCAGAUUUCAUUUACGGUCCAUUGCUAUGUUCUAGUAUGA